rnacentral:rRNA from 1 species
UACGAAGGGGGCUAGCGUUGCUCGGAAUCACUGGGCGUAAAGGGUGCGUAGGCGGGUCUUUUAAGUCAGGGGUGAAAUCCCAGGGCUCAACCCUGGAACUGCCUUUGAUACUGGAUAUCUGGAGUUCGGGAGAGGUGAGUGGAAUUCCGAGUGUAGAGGUGAAAUUCGUAGAUAUUCGGAGGAACACCAGAAGCGAAGGCGGCUCACUGGCCCGAUACUGACGCUGAGGCGCGAAAGCGUGGGGAGCAAACAGG